CAGAGUUGCAAAACUCCCUAAACCAUCGCGAACGUUACCCAAACCGUUGCUUCGGCGGGCGGGGGCCCCAGCGGCCCGCCCUCCCAGGCCCCCUCCGGGGGGCGCCCGCCGGAGGUACCCAACUCUUGACAAUCUGUGGCCUCUCUGAGUCUUCUGUACUGAAUAAGUCA
rnacentral:misc_RNA from 1 species